rnacentral:lncRNA from 1 species
AGUAAUACAAGGUUGUCUUGCAUUAGCCCGUGUUAGAAAUAGAAAGCGUGAUUAUGUGUUAUGGGCAGUGUCUACAGACUAAUAAGUUGUCAGUGCGGCACAAGGAAUGGUCGUGGAAGUUCAGAAGGGAUAUAUAUAUAUAACUCUUUACAAAGGGGCUGACAGUUGUCCCCAUGCGCUCACAGCGUGAGUAGGACUUAACCCCCUGACACCAGAGGUUUGUGAGGAAACACAAGAGAAAAUGAUGCCUUUCAGCGGCAAAGCUUUAGGAUCUGUAGGGAACUAAGUACCAAAACUAACUGACAGUGCUUUCCAUGGAGUGCUAACAUGGGACAGUUGUACCGUUGAACUUUAGCCUCAGCUUGCAUGGAGACUUUCCAUCUCUCUGUGCCAGUGUGCUUGUUGUAAACAGAAUACAUAAAUCUUGGUGUUAUUGCCAUGGAAAGAACCUGAGUGUCUUCUUUCUUUAGAUGCCGAAAGUUCAAUAUAAAUCAAAUUGUAAACCAUCCACAUUCGCAUACCCUGCCCCUCUGGAAGUUCCAAAAGAAAAAGAAAAGGAAAAGGUUUCCACCGCUGUGUUGUCUAUUACUGCCAAAGCUAAAAAAAAAGAAAAA